ACUCCUACGGGAGGCAGCAGUGGGGAAUAUUGCACAAUGGGGGAAACCCUGAUGCAGCGACGCCGCGUGCGGGAUGAAGGCCUUCGGGUUGUAAACCGCUUUCAGCAGGGGCGAAUCAAGACGGUACCUGCAGAAGAAGCGCCGGCUAACUACGUGCCAGCAGCCGCGGUAAUACGUAGGGCGCGAGCGUUGUCCGGAAUUAUUGGGCGUAAAGAGCUCGUAGGCGGCCUGUUGCGUCCGCUGUGAAAUCCCGGGGCUUAACCCCGGGCGUGCAGUGGAUACGGGCAGGCUAGAGGCAGGCAGGGGAGAACGGAAUUCCCGGUGUAGCGGUGAAAUGCGCAGAUAUCGGGAGGAACACCGGUGGCGAAGGCGGUUCUCUGGGCCUGUACUGACGCUGAGGAGCGAAAGCGUGGGGAGCGAACAGGAUUAGAUACCCUGGUAGUCCACGCCGUAAACGUUGGGCGCUAGGUGUGGGUCCCUUCCACGGGGUCUGUGCCGCAGCUAACGCAUUAAGCGCCCCGCCUGGGGAGUACGGCCGCAAGGCUAAAACUCAAAGAAAUUGACGGGGGCCCGCACAAGCGGCGGAGCAUGUUGCUUAAUUCGACGCAACGCGAAGAACCUUACCAAGGUUUGACAUGGGCCGNAAACUCGCAGAGAUGCGGGGUCCUUCGGGGCGGUUCACAGGUGGUGCAUGGCUGUCGUCAGCUCGUGUCGUGAGAUGUUGGGUUAAGUYCCGCAMCGAGCGCAACCCUCGUCCAAUGUUGCCAGCGGGUAAUGCCGGGGACUCAUUGGAGACUGCCGGGGUCAACUCGGA
rnacentral:rRNA from 1 species